ensembl:lncRNA
GUGACAGGCUGUAUAGUCCACUACAUUGACCAGGGUACACUGUGACAGGCUGUAUAGUCCACUACAUUUGAACAGGGUACACUGUGACAGGCUGUAUAGUCCACUACAUUUGAACAGGGUACACUGUGACAGGCUGUAUAGUCCACUACAUUGAACAGGGUACACUGUGACAGGCUGUAUAGUCCACUACAUUGAACAGGGUACACUGUGACAGGCUGUAUAGUCCACUACAUUGAACAGGGUACACUGUGAACAGGCUGCCACUUGGGCUGCAAUAACAGUCGUCAAUCUUAUAAUUUGUUAA